rnacentral:tRNA from 3 species
GCGAUCAUGGUGGAAUGGUAGACACGCUAUCUUGAGGGGGUAGUGCCGCUACGGUGUGCGAGUUCAAGUCUCGCUGAUCGCACCA